rnacentral:lncRNA from 1 species
UAGUGUAAAGAUUGCAACUAUGCUCUUAAGGAACAGAGAAGCCUAAGGGUGUGGCAGAUGAUGGCAUAGCCCCUCCCAAUCCUGCAACCACUGGCUCUACUAUACCACUGUUUGUGCUCCUCAAGGAAAGGCAAACCUCUAGCCUUAGGUUCUUGCUGUGGCUCCUACAGCCACUAUAACUCAGGGAUUUUGAAAUAAGGCACUUGAUUCCUAUGAUAAAGUAAGCUGCAACUAGAGUAGACCCAUUUAAAUCAAUGGAACCUACAGGUGAGUUGCAAAUUCCCACUGAUUCAGUGAACCUACUCUAGUGUGAUUAACUACAUUCAUCAACAGGAUUUCAGCUACUGAUGCUAUUAAUCUAAUUUACAUUGCAGUUAUAACAUAAGGAAUAUCUUCUUUCUGAGAUGCAAUAGUAACUUUAGCUACUUUCCUACUACUGAAGUCUAACUUUAGCUACUGUCCUCACUAACAUGUUUCUCCCAAGCUCUGAUUGCUGUGCUGAUUGGGUGAAGCUUUUCUAAAUGAUAAAGCUUCUAAAAUGGCCUCCCACAAUCAACAGUCUUGAGCUCUGCUGUAAAACUAUUUGUGAAAACUGAGAUCACUCACAACAAAUCACAAAUGAGCCUCAUACAUAGGCAACACAGUUUGGUGUCCAUUGGAGCCACAGUUUUCAAAAGAAGGACGCUCAGCGGUAAAGACCUGCUCAGGUCUCACACCAGUGGGGGACAGAGACAGAGGCUUUGUUUGAUUUGA